rnacentral:rRNA from 1 species
UACGUAGGGUGCGAGCGUUAAUCGGAAUUACUGGGCGUAAAGUGUGCGCAGGUGGCUGAGCAAGUCGAGUGUGAAAAUCCCCGGGCUUAACUUGGGAAUUGCGCUCGAAACUACUUGGCUCGAGUGUGGCAGAGGAAGGUGGAAUUCCAAGUGUAGCGGUAAGAAUGCGUAGAGUAGUUGAGGAACACCAGUGGCGAAGGCGACUUUCGUGGUCUGUAACUGACGCUGAGGCGCGAAAGCGUGGGGAGCAAACAGGG